rnacentral:rRNA from 1 species
GAUUAACGCUGGCGGCGUGCAUAACACAUGCAAGUCGAACGAUGACACUUUGUAGACUUCUUCGGAAAGACACUAAGCGGAUUAGUGGCGAACGGGAGAGCAACGCCUGAAUUAUCUGCCUUACUCAAGGGGAUAGCCUUAGGAAACGAACGAUAAUACCCUAUAAAAGCAUAAAAGCAAAUGUUAGAACGGUCAAAGUGGUAGCGGCGUAUGGUGGACUUGCGAGUGAUUAGCUAGGUGGUGAGAUAAAAGCUCACCAAGGCGACGAUCAGUAGCCGGCUUGGGAGAGUGUACGGCCACAUUGCGACAGGGACAAGGCGCAGACUGCGGCGAGAGGCAGCAGUGGGGAAUUAUGCACAAUGGGGGAAACCCUGAGGCAGCGGGGCCGCGAGAUUGAGAAGGCCGUCGGGUUGUGAAAAUCUUUUGUAUAGGGAGAAAAUGACGGUACUAUACGAAUAAGGACCGGCUAAUUACGUG